rnacentral:rRNA from 1 species
CUCGGUGGUUGGAGCGGUAAGGUUCCACCUGAUUCCAUCCCGAACUCAGUAGUGAAACUUACCAGCGGGGACGAUAAUGCAUCCGCAAGGUUGCGUGAAAAUACCUCACUGCCGGAU